rnacentral:misc_RNA from 1 species
GGUAUUUACCCAACGUUGACUG